rnacentral:rRNA from 1 species
GAUCCUGGCUCAGAAUCAACGCUGGCGGCGUGCCUAACACAUGCAAGUCGCACGAGAAAGGGUAGCAAUACCUGAGUAAAGUGGCGCACGGGUGAGUAACACGUGAAUCAUCUACCUCCGAGUGGGGAAUAACUGAGAGAAAUCUUAGCUAAUACCGCAUAACACUUACGAGUCAAAGCAGCAAUGCGCUUGGAGAGGAGUUCGCGGCAGAUUAGUUAGUUGGCGGGGUAAUGGCCCACCAAGACGAUGAUCUGUAUCCGGCCUGAGAGGGCGCACGGACACACUGGAACUGAAACACGGUCCAGACUCCUACGGGAGGCAGCAGUGGGGAAUUUUGCGCAAUGGGGGAAACCCUGACGCAGCAACGCCGCGUGGAGGAUGAAAUCCCUUGGGAUGUAAACUCCUUUCGAUAGGGAAGAUAAUGACGGUACCUAUAGAAGAAGCCCCGGCUAACUUCGUGCCAGCAGCCGCGGUAAUACGAGGGGGGCAAGCGUUGUUCGGAUUUAUUGGGCGUAAAGGGUGCGUAGGCGGUUUGGCAAGUCUUGUGUGAAAUCUUCGGGCUCAACCCGAAGCCUGCACAAGAAACUGCCGGGCUUGAGUAUGGGAGAGGUGAGUGGAAUUUCCGGUGUAGCGGUGAAAUGCGUAAAUAUCGGAAGGAACACCUGUGGCGAAAGCGGCUCACUGGACCAU